GACGAACGCUGGCGGCGUGCUUAACACAUGCGAGUCGAACGGAAAGGCCCUGCUUUUGUGGGGCGCUCGAGUGGCGAACGGGUGAGUAACACGUGAGUAACCUGCCCUUGACUUUGGGAUAACUUCAGGAAACUGGGGCUAAUACCGGAUAGGAGCUCCUGCUGCAUGGUGGGGGUUGGAAAGUUUCGGCGGUUGGGGAUGGACUCGCGGCUUAUCAGCUUGUUGGUGGGGUAGUGGCUUACCAAGGCUUUGACGGGUAGCCGGCCUGAGAGGGUGACCGGCCACAUUGGGACUGAGGUACGGCCCAGACUCCUACGGGAGGCAGCAGUGGGGAAUAUUGCACAAUGGGCGGAAGCCUGAUGCAGCAACGCCGCGUGCGGGAUGACGGCCUUCGGGUUGUAAACCGCUUUCGCCUGUGACGAAGCGUGAGUGACGGUAAUGGGUAAAGAAGCACCGGCUAACUACGUG
rnacentral:rRNA from 1 species